GGCCGGGUGGUGUACGAUGCACACUUGCUGCUAAUAGGUUGAACGUAGAGUCUGCAAGAGGACCUCGUUCGAUUCGGGGCUUGGCCG